GUGAAGCUGGAUUCGCUAGUAAUCGCGCAUCAGCCAUGGCGCGGUGAAUACGUUCCCGGGCCUUGUACACACCGCCCGUCAAGCCAUGGGAGCCGGGGGUGCUUGAAGUGCGUCGCCGCAAGGCGCGCCCUAGAGCAAAACCGGUGACUGGGGCUAAGUCGUAACAAGGUACC
rnacentral:rRNA from 1 species